rnacentral:rRNA from 1 species
UACGUAGGGACCGAGCGUUGUCCGGAAUCAUUGGGCGUAAAGAGCGUGUAGGCGGCUAUUUAAGUCCUGCGUGAAAUCCUGCGGCUCAACCGCAGACGGUCGUGGGAAACUGGAUGGCUAGAGUGCGGGAGAGGAGACUGGAAUUCCUGGUGUAGCGGUGAAAUGCGCAGAUAUCAGGAGGAACACCGGUGGCGAAGGCGGGUCUCUGGGCCGAAACUGACGCUGAGGCGCGAAAGCGUGGGGAGCAAACAGG